UAUUUGAUGAUUUUUAUGGUGUUACACAUUUUGUGUUGCUUUGUUCUUAACUCAUAACAUUUGAUAACAAGUCUCCAACAGGCGCAUCGGAAAGGAGAGCAUGAAGAAGGAGGCACACCAUCCUUCCUCUUGCACACGGGUUCUCAAGCUUUCUCCUCAGCUUUGCUGGAAUUCCGGGUGCCAUACAUCACCUCUGUCGGCAGGCAUGUUGCCCUUCUGCCUCGCUCGCAGUUCUUCCAAGGGCUGCCCGUCUAUGUUGUCUGGUUUGGUUUGGUGAUGCUAAUACCCCUUUCGUCACCUCCCAACCUGCUACACGAAGGGAUAAAAUUUCAUUCCCAAGCUGCUGAAUGGAGAAUAAGUGGUUUCAUCUCAGGAGCAAAAAAAAAAAAAAGAGUGCUGCUGGAGUAUUAUGAUGGCUUCCUAGGCACAUGGUAAGCCUUUCAUCAUGAACAAAUUUUUUUACUACUGAAGUAAUCUAAUAUUCUAUUUGGUUUGUUGUGCACGUAGGUCUUAUUCUAGGUGCUACCUGCUAUGGGAUUUGACAAUAAAACACACAUUUACCUUGCUUGUGGUGAGCUCUUUGGUGGGAAACGUUUCAUGAAGCCAUACAAGGCUAUGUUUCCACAUUUAGACAACCACAUCACAGUCGGACUUGGAAAUAUGGAAGAGAAUACCUAAGGGCUAGCAGGAUCAACAGUUGAUUACAUGUUUUUUGUCAUUUUUGUACUGAACUGAAUUUCAGCAUUUAUGUUAUAUUAUAAAGUUCAAAUUAGAAGGUAAAAACAUAAUUGUUUUGUGCUAAACCAUUGAUGUGUGCUGUACCGUUUUUUGAAAAUAUAACAGAAAUCCUGAAAUUAUAAAAGUGACAAAAUUUCUAUUAAGCAAUAGUAGUGACACAAUUAUUUCAGAUAAUUAUGUCACUGAUAGAAUGCGCUCAACAUUAAUAGUACUCCUGGUAAUGUCGAGACUCUCUUCGGUGGUUGGGUUAGGGGUUUCAAGAAAACUGAUAGAAACCUGAUCAUAGUCGACUGCUGUGCUGUGCUGUGGUCCAUUUGAAGAAUCAGGAAUGACUUCUGUUUUAAUAAUAGAACUAUGGUUAACCCAUCUGACGUCAUUUUUUUUUGGUUGCUUACUUGCUUCUGGCUGGACUCUUGGUCUUUGUUGCAGAAAGAGACGGAAAGAAAGAAGUUGGUGGGCGGAAGCCUGCGAAUCAGAAGACUGGCUAAAGAAGUUUUCAACCGUGAUCUGGGAUGGACACCGCUUGACAGACGCAUCUGCUGAAUCUUCCGCGCCCUGCCGUGCUCUUUCUCCAGACGCAUGCGCUCUCCAUGUCCUCGCCCCAGUUUAUGUCCAGCUGGUCAGGCUCUUUUGUCGGCGAUUGCAAUACUAGGUCCACAGUAUUUGUAAUAAACACUGUCGUUGUUUCGUGUGAUCAUCAUAGUGUGUGAUCAGACUCAGACCGUGCGAUGCCUUAGGUUCAGUCUGUGGGUUUGUCUGCAUUGGCCCUUUCUUGUUCAGAAGUCGCUUAUCUGAAUAGGUUGCUAGCUCGGUCUAUCUAGCCGUUUUCCCGCUUAAGACAUGUCUGUGUGGUUUGCUGUAAUGGUUAUGUUGUUAACUGUUUGCCUAUUUCAUAAUGAAAUUUUCACCCUUUAAAAAAAUCAAUACAAGUUAAGGUUGCUAAGGUCGAUAUGGGCCGUAUUAGAGGGCGAUACAGCCCACGUUGGAUCCAGGGUAAAACCUGGGCCAGAUCGCGUAUGGGUGGGAACUGCGUAUUCAUCUCUGUUUAUUUGCUUUGUACCAUAGGAUGCCAAACGAACGGCAUCAGGCCUAGCGUGUCCCUGAGUCUUCCAUGUUAGAAAGAAAGAGGAGCUCCUUCCGGCACCUGAGACCUAGAACCCUCUUCCCCCUCGAUGGCCGUAGGGAGCGGCGGCGGCUCGCGGCGCGCGCGUCCGAACGUGCUAGUGACGGGGACGCCGGGGACGGGGAAGACGACAACGUGCUCGCUCCUUGCCGACGCCGCAGGCCUCCGCCACGUCAACAUCGGCGACCUCGUCCGCGAGAAGAGCCUCCACGACGGCUGGGACGCCGACCUCGAGUGCCAUGUCAUCAACGAGGACCUGGUAAGUCUCGCCUCUGCCCAACUGAGCUCCGCUCCGCUCCUUUCUUCGGAUAUUCCUCUCUUCGUCCUAUCGUGUUAAUCUCGACCGUAAUGUUCAGCAUUUGCCCUGUAGAUUGAAUACACGAGCUUAAAUACCAGGAUUAUUAUGCGUGAAACCUAAAAUUCUGAGUUUAUUCUGUGGUUGAAGUGCCCCCAGAUUUAGUUUUUAAGAUUUGUUGGAUUCCUUUUUUGUGGUAUGUAAACAGCCGUACUGCAGGCAGUGGCGGAGGACAAAAUAAUAAUAAGGUAUGGCUGAAGAAGGAAAAAAAAAAGAGAAAAACAUGAUGCAACACAUAGGACUUGAACCUGGAACCUGUUGAUUACAGGUAGUAUGAACUUACCACUACACCAAACAUGAUUUUUAGGUAUGUCUCAAGCCAUAGACCAUAAUGGGUGCUCCGCCACUGACUGCAGGUCGGGUUACCUCUAUUUCUUUUGCUAGAUGCCGUUAAGGAAACAGGUCCUCGUGGAUCGUCAGUUGACCAUUAUAUAACCGGUAGGAGUAGUUGUUCUUGGUCAGAACGGGGUAGCUGCUACCGCCACCCACCUCACGAAUUACCCGCUGGAUCACAACUCCGUCUUUGGAGGUGCCGUCUUCGUUCUUCUUCCCAGACGUUCAGAAGAAUCAGAACCUAGCUCCUUGGUACCACUUGUUAGAACCUCACCGGAUUGACAAUACUCAGGUUGUCGGCGAGAUCGCGACCAACAGAUGCUCACACGAACAUGAAGAACACAAUCUCGUUCUUGUGCUGCAGAAAUUGGCAGCGUUUCCGUUGUCUAUUGCUUUGCUUAUAUAGAAGAUUGCAAGGAAACAAAUCAGGGCCUCUCGGUCAUGCGGAC
rnacentral:lncRNA from 1 species